CCCUUGAGUUUGAUCAUGGCUCAGAACGAACGCUGGCGGCAGGCCUAACACAUGCAAGUCGAGCGAAGCCUUCGGGUUUAGCGGCGGACGGGUGAGUAACGCGUGGGAAUAUGCCCUUUGGUACGGAACAGUCCCGGGAAACUGGGUUUAAUACCGUAUGUGGUCCUUCGUAGUGGAUACGGGGGACGAAAGAUUUAUCGCCAAAGGAUUAGCCCGCGUUGGAUUAGGUAGUUGGUGGGGUAACGGCCUACCAAGCCGACGAUCCAUAGCUGGUUUGAGAGGAUGAUCAGCCACACUGGGACUGAGACACGGCCCAGACUCCUACGGGAGGCAGCAGUGGGGAAUCUUAGACAAUGGGGGCAACCCUGAUCUAGCCAUGCCGCGUGAGUGAUGAAGGCCUUAGGGUUGUAAAGCUCUUUCAGCUGGGAAGAUAAUGACGGUACCAGCAGAAGAAGCCCCGGCUAACUCCGUGCCAGCAGCCGCGGUAAUACGGAGGGGGCUAGCGUUGUUCGGAAUUACUGGGCGUAAAGCGCAUGUAGGCGGACCAGAAAGUUGGGGGUGAAAUCCCGGGGCUCAACCCCGGAACGGCCUUCAAAACUAUUGGUCUGGAGUUCGAGAGAGGUGAGUGGAAUUCCGAGUGUAGAGGUGAAAUUCGUAGAUAUUCGGAGGAACACCAGUGGCGAAGGCGGCUCACUGGCUCGAUA
rnacentral:rRNA from 1 species